UACGUAGGGCGCGAGCGUUGUCCGGAAUUAUUGGGCGUAAAGGGCUUGUAGGCGGCUGGUCGCGUCUGCCGUGAAAUCCUCUGGCUCAGCUGGGGGCGUGCGGUGGGUACGGGCUGGCUUGAGUGCGGUAGGGGAGACUGGAACUCCUGGUGUAGCGGUGGAAUGCGCAGAUAUCAGGAGGAACACCGGUGGCGAAGGCGGGUCUCUGGGCCGUUACUGACGCUGAGGAGCGAAAGCGUGGGGAGCGAACAGGAUUAGAUACCCUGGUAGUCCACGCUGUAAACGUUGGGCACUAGGUGUGGGGGGCCUUUUCCGGGUUUUCCGCGCCGUACUAACGCAUUAAGUGCCCCGCCUGGGGAGUACGCCGCAAGGCUAAAACUCAAAGGAAUUGACGGGGGCCCGCACAAGCGGCGGAGCAUGCGGAUUAAUUCGAUGCAACGCGAAAAACCUUACCAAGGCUUGACAUGGGCUGGAUUGCUUCGGAAAACGGGGUUUCCCUUUUUUGGGCUGGUUCACAGGUGGUGCAUGGUUGUCGUCAGCUCGUGUCGUGAGAUGUUGGGUUAAGUCCCGCAACGAGCGCAACCCUUGUCUCGUGUUGCCAGCACGUUGUGGUGGGGACUCGCGGGAGACUGCCGGGGUUAACUCGGAGGAAGGUGGGGAUGACGUCAAAUCAUCAUGCCCCUUAUGUCUUGGGCUUCACGCAUGCUACAAUGGCCGGUACAGUGGGUUGCGAUGCUGUGAGGCGGAGCGAAUCCCUGAAAGCCGGUCUCAGUUCGGAUCGGUGUCUGCAACUCGACACCGUGAAGUUGGAGUCGCUAGUAAUCGCAGAUCAGCAGCGCUGCGGUGAAUACGUUCUCGGGCCUUGUACACACCGCCCGUCACGUCAUGAAAGCUGGCAACACCCGAAGCCCGUGGCCUUAUGGGGAGCGGUCGAAGGUGGGGCUGGUGAUUGGGACGAAUCCGUAACAAGU
rnacentral:rRNA from 1 species